UCAUGGAUAAUGUUAUUGGUCUCUUGUACGUAGCACCAAGCCCAUUCUGCCGAAUUAGCGUCCUCUCCAUCAUUGGCUUUCCUCAUGGUGGUGAGGUGAGCUCUAGAAGAACCAAUCAAAGCUGGACAUGUCCAUUUUCUCAUUUAGUUUUCUUAAGCUCAUCAUGCAGACCAAGUAGCGGUACAAAAACAUACACGAAUGCUGCCAAGUAAUGUACUAAACUAGAGUGAUAAAAAAAUGAAGCACCAAUGUUGAAAUAAAAUUUAGUUGAGUUCAACCCCCCAAUCACUUCGCCUAAAGAAAGAAAAAUGAAAAACAAAAAAACAUUUCUCAUCAAAAUUUUGAAAACAUCGAACACUUGAAGUGCAUGAAUAAGUAUGGCGUGAGCUCUAGAUGCAAGCAGCUCCAGAUCCUUUUAACAACCAUAAUCACCCUAUCAGGAUACUGUACCACUAUACAUAUACUUUUCCUCCCCUGUAAAUACCUCUUCUCCAUUCUGUAUGGUGUGUGCAUGUUUAGAUAGACAAUACAUCGCCUAUCUUAAAAUUGGAUGGCUAUUGCCUAUUAAGCCAUCAAUGUGUCGUCCAUACGAUCAUGCUCGGCCCUCUUUGAUGCAAAACAUGCAACAUCAAUGAUCUCAAAAUUAGAGAAGAGAAAUUAUCCUAAUCUGAUGAUAGAAGAUUCAUUUUGUGUACUUGUUUUUAGAAAGGAUGUUGAGGUAUG
rnacentral:lncRNA from 1 species